rnacentral:rRNA from 1 species
UACGUAGGAGGCGAGCGUUGUCCGGAUUCAUUGGGCGUAAAGAGCGCGCAGGCGGCUUGGUAAGUCGGAUGUGAAAUCCCGAGGCUCAACCUCGGGUCUGCAUCCGAUACUGCCCGGCUAGAGGUAGGUAGGGGAGAUCGGAAUUCCUGGUGUAGCGGUGAAAUGCGCAGAUAUCAGGAAGAACACCCGUGGCGAAGGCGGUUCUCUGGGACGGUACUGACGCUGAGACGCGAAAGCGUGGGGAGCGAACAGG